ensembl:lncRNA
AUGAUUGAUAUUUUGGCGCAAUUUUGUGCAACACGUCACUGUGUGCGACCAUCGCAGAAACCAUUGCCCAGCGCGAUUCCACCACGGUUCCUUAAUCCCUGUCCCUUUAAAAAAAACAGCACCUCAUUACAUCAAAAAAAGGCACUUUUUAAGAGCCACAUUUGUUUUGUUUAUUGUCUUAUUUGUAUUGUUUAUUGUCUUGUUAUCUCAGUCUCUCUCUCUCUCUCUCUCUCUACUCUCUCUCCAUCCCUCUCCCUCUCUCUCUCUCUCUCUCUCUCUCUCUCACUCUCUUUCCAUCCCUCUCUCCCUCUCUCUCUCCCCCUACCAUCUGAGUGGUGGUUGCUUUUUUUAGAGGGACGGAGGACCUGGGUUGCUGCCUCUUCUUCACUCAUUGUAAUUAACUGAAAGUGUAAAGGUCGGGAUCAAAGAAUAUAGAUUCAUUUGUUGGUGUUGUUUUAAGCGCACAAUAUACCAAUUUAAUGGAUAGAGACUGGCAUAUAAUACCUGGUUAUUGCACCAAAUGAAAUUUGCAGGAGUCUGCACAAUAUAGGCCAACCUAUAAGAUAAAAAUUGCUGUUGGGCAUGAAGUCUAAGUAAAUCAAACUUAAGUUUUGUGAGGAAUGCCAGUAUUCAAAGAUGGUUUAUGACUACAGGAAAGCAAACAGCUCGCUUGGCGACUUUAUGUUUCAGGAUUUUUCUGCACUUAAAUAAUUUGCCAGCUUGCAAACAUCCAGAUCUAGUAUUACCUUUGAUAAUGUUAGAAAAGUGAUACGUUAAGCAUAACCUGCUGCUGUAUGACACAUGCUAAAAGAUUGACUAGCUCUGUCUUUCUUGUACUUAUGUGUGUUCGGAUCCCUGUAUGAUAUUUAAUAUUUAUAUUUUUUGUAUGUGUGUACACUUCAGAAUGACAAAGCCAAAAUUCAGGCCUUGCCCAAGCUGCCAAGUCCGUCAGCAGGCCAACCGCAAAACAUGCAGUGCUUGUUUUGCCACACUGCCAAGCAAGCGGUUAUUAAAAACUGCAAAAAUUAAUGAUGACUGGGGCCAGAGGGUCGUCAAAAACAAAAAUGCAUCUCGGGUGGUGGCCUCUGCCCAAAUAGCUGUAAGUAAAAAUGCUCAUGCUUCAUUAAUUGAGUGGUAAUCAAUAUUAAGCCCAAAGAACAUACAGUAUUUGGUACCAUGUUUGUUGAUGGACAUAGCAGCCAUGCUGUGUGCUGUGUACCAGGCUUCACAUGCGUGCCUGGAUGUUGGAAGUUGGCACAUCUUGUCAGUAUGAAAUUUUAGACAGACAAUCGCUUUAAAAACCACACCAUACAUCCCUAUUAAAUUGCUUUUGCAGCACACAUGACGCUCAAGUAAUAAAUGUACAUCACAUGCAAGUUGCUCUGAUAAACAGUUUGCCAAAAAGCUCCCCAUACACAAUAUGUAAAUAUUUUCACUAUUUUCAUUCUAUGCAGGUGUACUUCUGUUGUGAAAAAUCUUGAAUAUGCAUUGGUGUAUGUACAUAAGUAGGCAAUAUUCUAGACUACACUUAU